CACGUUGGGGACUGGAAGGUGUCCUGUGCUGUACCUGGUGGUGGGUCGUAGCUGGAGAGAGCUGUACCUGUGGAAUUACGUAGGAUGCGCGGGUGUGGAACAUCAGUCAUGCAUUUUACUGGACAAAGUAUGUUUAAGAGGCUGAAGGGAUUAGUGCCUUUAGCUGCCGUAAAGCUGUAUAGCUACAAACAGCAAAGGUUGCGGCAGCACCUCCCUACUCAUCACCCACACAAAAUCCUUCCUUAUUAACAGCAGAUAUCCAUUGCACAGCCUGGUUUAUCCGCAGUAAAUAAAUUGCAUUUAUGGCAUUAUGGCUUGGUCGUAACCCACUGCAUACCCAGUGACUCCAGAGACCGGAUUUAAACAUUGCCUCAGCCGCUAGAUUAUGGUCUGACCUAUUACCGCUGCAAGACCCGAAGUCACAUUUCUGCUGGUGAGAAAAAUCCCUACUUUCCCUUGCCGGGUGAACUGCCCUGGGGUUGCAGCGUGGAGCAGCGCGCGCCGGCAUCGGGCUGCUACCAAGUGUAAGGGUUGUCUCUGCAGCGAUUCCUUCCUUGAAUAGCAGCAGUCCUGUUUGUAAAUACCCGAUAUCCCACCUUCAAAGAGUCUGGCGCCAAGAAAACGGGUCGCGAUUAGGAAACGUAACACUAAUGAGCAGAUACCUGCAGAAGACCUCUAGCCCGUUUGGCUCCUCGCAGGCUGCGGGUAAAUUCAGCCAAGGAUCCAGUGAACCAGGCUGCUCUGCCCGGGCUGGACUCCUCUAACCCGGCGUCGUGCCGAAAGGUAGCCAAGCGCGAUGGAAGAUUUUUCUAAGGAACUCUUAUUUGUAUUCAGGGGUUGAGACUUUCUGGGAAAAUUUCCCAAAUUAAAUGGAAAACGAAUUCCUUUAAGCCGCCUAAGCAUGACUGACAUGACAAAUGGUGAGGUGGCUACCUGGAGCCGUGGCCGCCUGUCCUCCCUGCUCGGUGUGCUGGGCUCGGCACCUCCUCUUCGUAAAAUCACUGGGGUUAUUGUGUGCCUCUCAAACCUCUGCCUGAGCCGCGGACCAGAGAGACACUCUCAGCUGGCUGGAAACAGCGUAAUUUUAUCAAAACCAGUCAGGAGGUAGCAGGGUGCAUCAGGCCGCUGCGUUCUGGUGAGUUUUUCUGUGGCUUUUUUUAUUGCAUUACACGGGUUUUCGCUUCGGGACUCCAGUGCCUCUCCCUCGUGGUUUCGGAUCUAACAGCAUGCGUCGCUGCAGUGAGCGGAGUAUCAACGCGAGCGCUCUGCACCGUGCUCUUAACGCAGAAUCAAUAUGAUUUUUGUUACGUUACUGUCAGCUCGGCUUCUGUAAAGAUCGCGGAUCCGCUGGCUGAGACGUUGUGUGUCUCCAGUGCAGGAGACCGUCAUCGCCGAAAAGGCAGUCAAAACUAUGACCCCAAUUUAAGGGAAGAGAACAGAGCCCUGGAAAUAAUAGAUUUUCAAGAAAGCAUAGCUCCUACAAUUGGGGAUAGCUAAAGGUGUUCCCUGGGCAUUGAAUUUAUGUGGCCAGGCUUUCAGAAGCGCAUCCUGAACCUCCCAGAUUUGAAUUUUUCUGCUGUAACCAGGGGGAAUUCCACAGGUCCAUCCUUUCCACCAGCGUCGCUAUGUCCCUAUUAGCACUGACGCUGCGUGGCAUCUGUAGGACAUCUGGAUGUCAGGUGGCCUGCUGAAAGCCAGGGGGGUGUAUUUUGGAAUACGGGGUGUGCCCAAGAACCUGGCUUAUCCAUUUCCAGGGUAAAUAAUCCCUGCACGCACGCAGUGAACAGCACAGUGCGUGCACCACAAGGCUGGUGCCUCUCGGGUAUUCCAGGCUCGAAGCCGAUGUGCCAGACAGCCGAUUUGCACUUGGCGCUCACGUUUCCAUCCCAGGCACGCGUGGCUAACCGCACACAUGCUUCGGGAGCGCGCGUCCCGAUUCCCUCUGGGAUUCCCCGAUAAGAAAUACGGCAGCUCUGACCUCCCGUUUCGCAUGUCACGAUGCUGCGAAGCACCACGGCUCCGCAGCUUCCUGUUCGGGUGAGGGCGGUCCUGCCUCUGCCAUCGCUGCUGCUGGGGAGCCGCCUUUGAAGACAGUCGCUGUGACAGCCAGUACCAGCUUAUCUAUCCCUGCGGGCUGUUUGCCACCACAGCGUCCUCUCCAGACACGGCGACAGCAGCAGUCUCUGGGCUAACGAACCAUUGCUGGCACCCCAAGCAGAUGCCAGGAGCCACUUCCCAGGCUGUGGGUCCAUCCCGUGUGACGGAGCUCCUUUGCUCUCCGAGGGUUUUGUCAACACCUCGGUAUUAUUGAAGUGUUGUUUUUAAAGUCAAUUUCCUUUUCUUUUCUUUGUAGUUUAUGGAGUGUUGCUGAAGACCUUCUCCCAGGCUACAAUGAGGAUCAGUUCCAGGUUUGCAGUCAUAUCAACAGUAGGUUCGUGAUUUAUUUCUGAGGUACCUGUGUAAUUACCCGUACCCCGCGCGCCCCUCCCAUUCACACGGAGUUUCCCUGUAGCUAAUGAGCCUUCCCAGCGAGGAGAAGGAGGAGGACUGGUUCACUAACCCCCCGUGCGAAUGAAUGAGCUUCUAAAAUGAACCCAACCUCCAUAAAGACAAUGUGUCCCAAAAGCUGUCAGGCCUUAUUGUAAAUGUAAAUGGCUCAGCUUUCUUAAACUGAACAUUUUUGCCAACAGCAUCAUGUUGAUAUUCUUUUUUUCCCCACUAUUUCUGUUUUGGUCAAAGUGGUGAUGUGUUUGUUUUGCCAUUAUAGCUUCUGUCUUCUAUGCCAACGCAUUACCUAUGCAAGGCAAGGCUCGGCCAGUGGUGCAGAGCUUCCAGCCCCAAAAGGUACUCUUCAAUAUUUGGAUACCUGAACCCAACAUGCGCUGACCCUGGGAAAUGUUGGGAGCAGUGGUUGUGUUUCAAAAUCAUGAAAUGCUGCCUUUGAUAUCAAGUUUAAGUAUCUUUGCCCGCAAUGAUGGGAUGAGCUUCACCAACCUCGAACCAGUUUUGGAUAUCUUUGCGGGGUUACGUUUUUGCGCCAGCUGCGUGAUUCUGGGCGCAUCCGUACGUUACAGAGAGGUGACGCACAGCAGAGCCCGUCAGGGUACCUGGAGGAGGUGCGAGGGACCAUUUGGUAGCCCGUUAGAGCAGCCAGCUGGUCGCCAGCCCCAUUUGUACGAGCUAGCCCAGCGUGGGGCUGGAAGCCGAAUCUGGCAAGUGGAUGGUGCCAGCUGGUGACCCGGGUGGCGGCCGGUGGCCAGCCCGCCUGCAGAGCAGCCCGGGGCAGCCUUUGAACUCUGUCUGAAGCGAGCUGUGCGUUGGCCCCCAACGUAAAUGAGAGCAGCCUGGAGACUGUUAUAAAUUACAAGAGUGCUGUAGCCCCAGAGGCAGGCACACAUCUGGCCAGGCUCCCGCCGGGGGAGCGGUGCUGGAGGUAGUGCGUUGGCUCCGUCUCACAGUCGGACUUCCCUUUACUGGGGUGAUCUUCUCAUGCUUGCUUGUACCGGGGUUGGGCUAUCAGAGCCGGGAAGUCGUUUCCAUCUUCGCUUUUCUGGAAAUAUUAAUCCGGCUGUAAAGUGUUGUCAGGCUCCGUGCCCGCGGUCAGCCCACUGACCGACCCUUCUCUCCCCGUCACCAGCAGCUCUCUUCUGGGUUCCUUGGCGAGGACCUGCCCCAGCGCUGGCUCUUUUUCUGCCUGGGCCGUGGAUCAAAACCAGCGAAAACAACUUCAGCUGAGCUCCGGGUGCCGUCCGAGUUCAGACACCCUCUGCUGAUGUUGUCCAGCCUUUGUGCUGGGUUGCAGGGAUGGUCUUAGUGAAGAUGCUCAACGUGGGUGGAGGUCACCCAGACUAACAUCCCUUUGCAACCUUGCGCCCUCCCUGCACGGCUCUGAGGAAGGAUCAGGGCCUUUUACGUUUAAACUGUCUAGACCUGAGAUACUGUUCUACAUCUGCUGCUGUCGUUUCAGUUUAAAAGAUUUUAAGCUUUUACAUUUUUCUCUAAUCACUUGGAAACGAGUUUUUGAAAAGGCAACCAGGAAAAAACCCACCACACCAGUGCAAACUACUCCCGAGCCCUGAUAACGUCACGUUUUCCUGAAACGGGGCAUAAACAAAGCAGCCGGCAGCUCUGGAACGUAAUGAAUUCUCCUAUUGAUACAAACCGCUUAAUUCACUUAUCUGCAGGUAAUUUAGCCACUCCUGAGGACGAAAACCCUUUUAGGUGUACUUCCCCUCGCGCAACUGAGGUGGAGAAGGAGGAGCGUGGGCCGGUCUGAUCGGCGAAGGGCAGCGCUUGGCCGCCUGGGUGCUCACCCUCGCCGAGCGCUGCCUGGGCACUGCUCUGGUUUCCCCUACGAAUUAAGCGGUAAUCAGUAAUCACCAGCCUUGAUGUUGGCUUUCUGCACAGGAGGAAAGUUCAUCUUUUCAUUUCAGUGCCCCCGAGUAUCCCGAAACUCUUCAACUGGCGGAAAAACGACGUGGAAAAAAAAAUGGACAGAAUUGCUUUUGCUGUAUAUUCAGGUAAAUUAGUACGAUUCCAGAUAGAUACGCUGAUGUUUCGCCUUUUACAAGCAUAAUUCUUACCAUCAGAUACGAGGUUUGGAGCAUUAAACGUUUGGGAUCUGGAAAAAAUUGCCCCUACUGAUGGAGUCUUUUCAAUCUGACAACCAGGUCCCCCUCCCGCAUCAGUCCCCUCGUCCCUGAUGCUUUAGAGACCCUGCUCUAAAAGCCUCUUGUCUCAAAAAAACAGGGCAUUUCCAGGAAAAGGAAGAGCAUUCCGUUUUUUACCUUCUCAGCCUCGUCGAGUGGGAAAUAGGAUUGUUCACACAAAGGCUGAGCCACUGCCCGCUGGGCUCCGCUCUCUGCCGUGGAUUUGGGAAGACAGAAGAUACUAAUUAUAGCAACAAAAGGUUUGUAGGCAUGCUUCAAUAGUUGCAAGACCACUUUAAAAAUAUUGCACAAAGGAAGGGUUUUCAGAGAGAGCGCGUACCAAGUGGACGAUAAUAACGAAGUGGUAGCGCUGACAGAGAUACUGGAAAUUUCAGAGUUUUGGGGAGAAUUUCUAAAAAAUCAGGUUUUCCAGAUGAAAGCCCGCUUUUAUUCUGCCACUUUGCUGGGGGCCUGGUAGGAGUUGGAAGCUGGGAACUAGAUGCUCCUAUUCCUCUGCAAAACACGACACGUUUUGUAGUAAAAGGUCAUCUCCCAAUUCUCCUCACCCAUCUCCCAGUUCUCCUCACCGUCUCCCAGUUUGGUUUGGGUUUUGGUUUUUUUUCCUAGAAUUAAGGCCUUGAGAUGAAAAAGGAACGUUUUGAGGAAUUCCGACAGCUAUCACAAAAGAUUGAAAACUCGAUUAUGGAACAGAUCCGUAACUUUUCUUGCGGAUGUGAGAUAAAUAUCAGCCGUCUGUGGCACCUGUGCGGCACACGGCCCCGUGGGUACCCUCGGUGGUGGAGGGCUGCGUGAAGACUCGCCUGGCCACGCUUACUUUGUCUUUCUUCUGCCGUCUUAACGAUCUCUUCAUUUAUUUGAUCGCGUAUUCAGGGCUGAGCGUAGCUCCCGGGAAAUCUUGGGAGAAUUCAGCUGACCUCAGCAGACCUGCCCGGGAGAGUGAAAUUCGGCUGUUUGCAUCUGCGGUGGGAUGUUCCGGAGUCCUCCGGAUGAAAGGUGCUACGGAGGGUUUAAGUGAUUGCUACCGCGCAUCAAGGUCGUGGUGAUUAAUGACUAAAAAGCAUCAGCUGGGGGCUCGGCUGGCCUGUUUUGGGGGACGCCGCGUGGUUUUUGGUGACUGCGAGUCCGCCGGUGGAGAAACGGGCUGGAUUGAGGAGUGGUGCUUCUGCUUUUCCCAGAGACUCCAGACCAGAGCCGUCGCCUCUUUCUCUCCUUCAGCCAUAGACGCGUUGGGCAGAAGACCCACAAGACAGAAGCAGAGGGUGCAGUGGAGCGCUGCUGUGGUGCAGAAACAGCUCGCGGCUCGGCAAGGACUCGGCCAGAGGAGGCUCAGUCCGUCCAGGAUGACUUGGGCAACGUGUUGGUGGAACUCCAGACGCUUUCAAAGAACAUCAUGAUGGGAUCCAUAGCAAAACAAUUAAGUAAUACAGGCAAAACCCUGCUGCGUCUGGAUUUCCCCGGAGGAAGACGCACUGGAGAGCACGGUGUGGUAGGUCCAAGGACAGUUUCUCGCUCUUUUUGCACCGAGCGCUUCCCACCGCCGCGAUGUCUGGGUGGGUUUGAUGAGGAGACCACAAAGGACACUACUGCCACAAACAGCAGAAAAUAUUAGACAACACCUAUAUUAUACAGGCGAACAGAGCAUUCAGUAGGAGCUCUCGGUGAUGUCCU